rnacentral:rRNA from 1 species
CUAAGGCUAAAUACUCUCUAGUGACCGAUAGUGAACCAGUACCGUGAGGGAAAGGUGAAAAGUACCCCGGAAGGGGAGUGAAAGAGAACUUGAAACCGUGUGCUUACAAGUAGUCAGAGCCCGUUAAUGGGUGAUGGCGUGCCUUUUGUAGAAUGAACCGGCGAGUUACGAUCUGAUGCAAGGUUAAGCAGAAAAUGUGGAGCCGUAGCGAAAGCGAGUCUGAAUAGGGCGAAUGAGUAUUUGGUCGUAGACCCGAAACCAGGUGAUCUACCCUUGGUCAGGUUGAAGUUCAGGUAACACUGAAUGGAGGACCGAACCGACUUACGUUGAAAAGUGAGCGGAUGAACUGAGGGUAGCGGAGAAAUUCCAAUCGAACUUGGAGAUAGCUGGUUCUCUCCGAAAUAGCUUUAGGGCUAGCCUCAAGUGAUGAUUAUUGGAGGUAGAGCACUGUUUGGACGAGGGGCCCCUCUCGGGUUACCGAAUUCAGACAAACUCCGAAUGCCAAAUAAUUUAACUUGGGAGUCAGAAUGUGGGUGAUAAGGUCCAUAUUCGAAAGGGAAACAGCCCAGACCACCAGCUAAGGUCCCAAAAUAUAUGUUAAGUGGAAAAGGAUGUGGCGUUGCCCAGACAACUAGGAUGUUGGCUUAGAAGCAGCCAUCAUUUAAAGAGUGCGUAAUAGCUCACUAGUCGAGUGACACUGCGCCGAAAAUGUACCGGGGCUAAACAUAUUACCGAAGCUGUGGAUUGUCCUUUGGACAAUGGUAGGAGAGCGUUCUAAGGGCGUUGAAGCAUGAUCGCAAGGACAUGUGGAGCGCUUAGAAGUGAGAAUGCCGGUGUGAGUAGCGAAAGACGGGUGAGAAUCCCGUCCACCGAUUGACUAAGGUUUCCAGAGGAAGGCUCGUCCGCUCUGGGUUAGUCGGGUCCUAAGCUGAGGCCGACAGGCGUAGGCGAUGGAUAACAGG